GGCAGGGUAGCCUAGUGGUAGGCUGCUUAACUGGUACUUGAAGAGUUGCUGGUUCAAGCCCCUGGUG